rnacentral:rRNA from 1 species
UGUAAGUUAUUAAGGGCACACGGUGGAUGCCUUGGCACUAGAAGCCGAUGAAGGACGUGUGAAUCUGCGAUAAGCCUGGGGUAGCCGAUAACAGGGCGUUGAUCCCAGGAUUUCCGAAUGGGGAAACCCGG